ACAGGUCUGGAAUUAGGACAGAAUCAGGGCUAGAGAUGGGAGUCGUCUUUCAGGAGGCUGUACCUCAAGCCUGGAGUAGGUAAGAUCUUUCAGAAACAGAGACUGGGAAAGGACCAAGGAUUGGACGUGCUUACCCUUAAGGGCUGUCCAGAGGAAGGAAAGUAAGAAGGAUUAAUCAGAUCAGUUAAAGGCUUUGGAAGUACCUAAAGCUUUGGGGGACGAGUAAGGAGGGAAUGAAAACUUACAAAGAGGAAGAAAGAAAAUGAUCUUCCUGGACAGUUGAAAACUGCCUCUCCCACUUCACAAGACAGCCCGUCUUCUCGUCCUCUUGCCUUUAAAUUGUCACACUUCCCUAACUUAUUAAUACACAUCUGCUCAAAUUGUGGUUUCCGUCUCAACUGACCCAUUUGGCAGGAGCGACAGGCUGCAAAUCGUGAUCUGAGCCAACAUCAUCUGAUUUUUUACCAUUGCUAUCUCGAGCAUACACCUGUCACAGAGAACGCCAGGUGUUAAGCAACAGAUGUUCCUGGGAUUCACAAAGAAAAACAGGUAACUUCUCCUCUAUGCUUCUUAGCAUAAAAACACAAUAAUAGCCAUUAAUAUAUUUAAUAGAAGGGACAAGAGGAUCAGCCCAUUUGUGGAAUAUAUGUAUCUUGUUCCAAGCAAGUCAGUAGAGCUAAGAAUAUGGGCUUUUUUUUUUUUUUUUUUUUUUUUGAGAAUAAGUGUUAACAGUGCUCUGAAUAAAAGGUGACUCUAUGCCACUGUUGUUUCAAAGUGCAGUACAGGGACCACAUGCAUCAAAAUUACCUGGGCUGCAUAUUAAAGUGCAGAUUUCUGGGCCAGUCUCAGAGAUUCAGAGUUAGAAGACCUGGCACUUAAUCAUUUCCCCAAAGCACACUGAAAAUAUUGCAUCCUAUUAGUAUCUCAUCUUUUCAUGCAAUUCUCAACACUCCCUGUUCUUUCUUCUAGACUGUUUGGAUUCUAGGUCAGACCUUCACAAAUUUCCCUCCUGCCAUGCCUCUGGAAUGAGCCCAACCAUCAGUAUUCCCAAUGCCAUCCUCUCUUCCUUCCAUCCCCAGCCCUGCACUCCCCACUUCUGCUGAAGCUGUAGGGACACAAAAUCCAAGGGUGGAGCAAAAAAUAGAGCCUAAGAAUCACCCCAACCAAGGGCCAGCAACAGGCUCUGAGUUGAAGGCAGGGUAGCUGGGAAGCCCAAAUUGUUGAAGAUGCAGGGAAGUGUAGUGAGUGUGAUGGAAAGGGGACAGCCAAGCCAGUAUCCCAAAGCACCCUGUGGCUGCCACACACUGCAGUGAGGCCAAGUUUCAAGACCCAAGGAUGGAAAAGAUUAGAUCAUACCCUUUUGUCAUAUGUCAGUAAGAAAAUUAAAAGGAUUAUACAAUUCAGAGUGUGGUGAGAGGCUUACAACAGAAGAGAGUUUUGAGUCAAAAAAUUUUAACUACCUUAAAAUUUAAUAUAUUCCCUAUCACUCAACAGAGAUUUAGUUCUUGCCAUUUAAUCUGUUGCAUUUAAAAUGAAUUCUGUUGUGUUUUAAAAGUCAACUUGGAUUUGUUCAAUGAAUAUUUAUCAAUGCCUGCAGGGGAUACAAUGUUCAGCAAAAACUGACUUGGUCUCUGCCCUUAGAGAGUUUAUAUUCCCACAGGGAAGAGAGUGGUUGAGUAAAUAAUCACAUUAAAAAAAGCAUUAUUGCAAACAGAGCUAAGUGUUACGACAGUGAGGUUCAGGGUAUUAUAAAGAUAUAUUACAGGAGUACCUGUCCUAGUCUGGGAAGGUCGGGGGUGGUGCGGCAAGAAGGUGUCCCUGCAGAAGUGACAUGUGGUCUAAGAACUGAAGAAUGAGCAAGUUAAUCAGACUUGGUGAGAAGAGCAUUUCAGACAGAGGAAACAGCAUUUUUCCUCUGCAGUGGGUUGAAGAUGUCCACAUGAAAGCAAGCAAGUGGUCCUGAGUACAGAGAACAGAGAGAAGGAGAUUCGCAUGAGGCUGGAGCUACAGGCAGAGGUCAGACUUUGCAGGGCCUUGCUGGUCCAGCUAAGCAGACAGUUCUUUAUCUAAGAACAACGAGAACCAUGUGAAGCAGGGGAUGAUAUGGUCAGUUUGCAUUUUAAAAAGUCCUCUUAUACUGCAGUGUCAAGAACAGAUGAAGAGGGCCAAGGUUGGAAGUGAGAACACCACUCAGGGGUCUAUGGAACCAGGUCAGAUGAAUGAUAACCGUGGCUUGGGCAAAGCGGGUGGCAGUGGAGAUGGGGAGAAGAAGACUGCUUUGAGACACAUUUCGGAGUUAUCAGUGACAGGACUUAAUAAUGGAUUUGAUACAGGAUUAAAGGGGAGGAGAGGGAUGAGUCAGGAAUUAUGCCUAGGUGUCUAGCUCGUACCACUAAAUGGAGGACUCUGUCCUUCCCUGAUGGAGGGAACACUUAAGAGGACUGGGUUUGGAGGGGAAAAUAAUUAUGUUAACUUUUGGAUAUGCUUAGCUUGAAGUGUUCCUGAGACACCCGAAUGGAGAUCUGGAGGAGGGACCUGAAGUUCAGGAGUCAUCAUGCUUUGAUGGUAAUUGCACUCAUUGAUGAAUUGCUGAAGGAAGAAAAAAGUGAAUUCGUUUCAUUAAGAACUUGGCAAAAGGAGCAACUGGAGAACCAGAGCACAGCAUCAGCUUUACCAGCAGUAAAGCCGGAUAGGGUAACACUGUGACGUCCAAGCAGAGGAUCAGUUUUCUGAUAGGGCCAGAAAACACAGGGCGCUUUGUUAACCUGCGCGGAAGUUCAGCCCGGACCUCCUAGUUCUCUGCUCAGUAUCUAUACCUGGGGAUCCACUGGACCAUGACUUAUUACCCACCUGCAAGUGGAGAAGCAAGAACAAGUCACUUAGCUGGACCCAUCAGUGACAAGCUAACCUCUUGGAGACUUGAGAUAGGCACGUGCAGCUCCUAGGAGCACUUGGGUCUAAGAAACCAGGAGAAAAAGAACAGUGACCUAUCAACACUUAACUUUGCCCAGUAAGGAAAUGUGGCGAGUAGGUGGGGCACUUUCCCUAGUCUCACCAAUCAGAAGACCAUCUUCCUCCAAGAGAAGAACUGAGGAAGGUGGGAAGGGCAGGGCUAUAGAACAUUUCCCACCAGGGUCAUUGACCAUUCCGGAAGCAUGUAGAGAAACUGUUAUUCUUCAUUAUUUCUCCAGUGGAAAUAAUACACCAAAAUACUUUUUCCUUUCAUAUCAAGCACUGGUUAUUGAUGACCCAGAAAUCCCAGGAUGGAAAAGAGUUUAUUGAGGUCAAGUUUAAUUAUUCAUGUUCACCAUUUUGAUGAUUAUUAACCCUCUUUUCAACUGGCAGCAAAGGAUUUCUGGAGAUCAGCUAAUUCAGUGUCUCUGAAGAAGCUGGUACAGUUUGUUGUAAAUGUGUUUUGCUUCACAGACAAUAGUGCUGUGAUGGAAUGGUUUGUCCAUGAGUCUGUGAAUAAAUCACACACCUGUUAAAUUGUGUGCUGCACAUAAUGAAAGGGUUGUGAUGUGGGGUUUUUUUAAAAAACAAAUUGUUGCUUCUCUCCAUUUGCUGCUCCUAAACAAUUUCUCAGUGUAAUGUCUUGUGUAUCUCCCCUUUUAGUGAAGCUCAAAGUACUUCAUGGCAUUCAUAUUUAUGAAUUCCAAUUCUAUUUAUUCUCCCCAUCAACUUUCAGAGUUGCAAAUAUAAACACUGCAAUUUGGCAUAUGAGCAAAUUAAAAUAUAUCAACAUUCUGAUCCUGUACUAGGUCAUACUGUAAGUCAAAUAGGGAGAAGUAGAAGUGGUAGCUCCUGAACCGGUGCCAGGUCAUGCCACUCAUCUGGGUGCCCUGUGGAAGGUGUGCACGACCCUGGAGGGACUCCCCUUAGCCUUGGAGCUCAGGCACCUAUUCAGGAACAUCUACAAUGGAUGAGAUCUCUACGCCAGGAACAUGGCCAUUUUGUCCACUGACCCAGGCUAAAGGAAGGAGGAAACCAUGAAGAUUCUGUGUUUAAAAACUUGUGCAUGGAUACCUUCUGAAUCUUCAGUUGUAUCUUGUAGCUUUAAAGCAAUUUCGUCUUCAAGGCUAGGGAAAUAUAUUCCCUAUGAAGGAGGAUAUUACAUCUUUAUCUAAGCUAAGCAGUAAUUGCAACACUCAUUUGGUCCUACUUUGUACAUGUUAUCUCCCAAGAUAGGCAGGGAAAAGAAUAAAGGCUUUGGAGCCAGACAAUCUGGCUUUGAAUUCAUGCUCCACAUUCUAGUUAUUGACCUAGCUACUUAACUUACCUGAUUUGUUUAUUCAUCUUAACAUAGGCAUUUUUUAGAUUCCAAAUGGAAUAGAUUCUAAAAAAUACAACUAGUGAAUAUAACAAUAAAAAGAGGCCGACUCACAGAUACAGAGAACAAACUAGUGGUUACCAGUGGGGAGAGGGAACAGGAGAGGGGCAACAUAGGAGUAGGAGAUUAAGAGGUACAAGCUAUUAGGUAUAAAAUAAGCUAUAAGAAUAUAUUGUACAACAUGAGGAAUACAGCCAGUAUCUUACAACUAUAAAUGCAAUAUAACUUUUAAAAAUUGUGACUCACUAUACUGUACUCCUGUAACGUAUAAUAUUGUACAUCAACUAUACUUCAAUAAAAUUUUUUUAAAUAGGCAUAAAAUUAUUAUAGAGUAGUGCUGUUGGGGGAAUUAAAUGAGAUUGUGUGUGUGUGUAUAUAAACAGAACAUGUCACAUGUUUUGUUAGAUGUUAAACAUGUAGAAGUUAGAUGCUUUUACUGUGCUUUGGCUGCUUUUUAUAUUAACUUCUUUAUUGGUCCACCUGGUCCACAUAUACUUAUCUAUCAUAGCAUCAGAGAGGUUCUUUAGCUUGAAAUAUCGUAACUGCAAAGGGAAGUGAAAGAGACAGAGAGAGAGAGAGAAAGGAAAAAGAAAAAGAAGAAUUGAAAAUGACUGAAAUGCCUUAUUACUGAGAGCUACAUGCAGUUGACUUAGCCAUAGCUGUACUAAAAAACUGUAUGUUCCAUACAGCGGAGUUCUGAUAUAACUCACAAUUCCUCCUCACUGAGAACUGAAGAAGACUCCCACGGGCAAGACAAAUAGAGUAGUCUCUGGUCUAGGAUAAACUUUCCUUUCCUCCUUUUUCAGCCAAGCCUUCCCUGCCUGCUCUGAGAGGCUGCAGUCUAGCUGGCCCCUGUUCUCAAUAUUUUCUCAUUCACUUGCUCCACGUUUGCUUUACUUUGAGAAGAGCUCUUAUCACUGUAUUGCUAAGGAAGGUCUCAUACUCUCCAGAGACUGAAUCAGAAUGCUAGCCACUAUUUACUUGGGAUAUCAUUGAAAUACUCCUCUUUUUAUUUUUGUUUCCCUCAAAGCUUUUUUCUCUUUUUUAUCCGGCCAGAGGAGCCCCCUGCCCUUUUCCGCAGGGGAUAUGUUUCACGACCUCCCAGUGGAUGCCUGAAACCACAGAUAGUACCAAACUCUAUGUAUAUUACGUUUUUUUCCUAUACAUGCAUACCUAUGAUAAAGUUUAAUUUAUAAAUUAGGCACAAUAAGAGAUUAACAACAACUCAUAAUAAAAUAGAAUAAUUAUAAUGAUAUACUGUACUAAAAGUUAGGUGAAUAUGGUCUCUCUCUCUCAAAAUAUCUUAUUUUACAGAUUUAAUACCCUUUCCAUCUUAACUAAGCACUUAUCACUUAAUGUGGUGAAUGUGAAUUUCUUUUUCCCUCUUCCAAUUUUACAAAGAGAAGAUUCAUUCUUACCAUAGGUCUUAGCAAACACAGCACAUGAUUUUUUUUUUUUUUCUUAUUAAGUUGAGAACUUUCACCUCUACAUUAAAUUUGGAUAGCACUUUACGGCUUCUCUUUGGCGUAUCUGAAUUGCCAGCAUCACUACUUUGGGGCCAUUAUUAAGUAAAAUAAGGGUUACUUGACAAUAAGCAACGUGAUACUGCAAUAGUUAUCUGAUAACCUAGGUGACUACCUGGCGGAAUACACUGGACAAAGGGAUGAUUUACGUCCCGGGAGGGACAGAGCGAGAUUUCAUCAUGCUACUCAGAACAGCGUGCAACUUAAAACUUAUGAAAUGUUUAUUUCUGUAAUUUUCCAUUUAAUCUUUUCUGACCAAGGUUGACUGUGGAUAAUUGAAAUUUCAGCAAGCAAAACAGCAGAUAAGGAGGGUCUGCUGUAUUCUAGGUCAUACUGGGGAGAUUUUACUUUCGUUUUUCUUCUCAUUCUCUGCUCCUGUUGGUGGAGGCAGUAAUUUUCAUGUUGGUUUCAACCUGAACAAUGAAUUCCCUCAUUGAGUAAAACGUGGAUGCCAUGACUUUUUUGUAUAAUUUCUGUAUAUGAACGGUACCUCUGGCUGUAACAGAUUAAGACUGCACCCCUUAACUAACCAUUUACAUCCAAUGCUGAGUGGGUUUCUAAAAGCACAUAAAGUGAUAUUGAAAUCUGUGUCUGUUAUCUUCAAGUGCCGUUUUCUGAGGUUGGUCAGCAGGGCCUUCUAGCCUCAUAAAAUAACUAAGUAGGAAGCAUAAACAAAAACCAUCUGGCCUCGAAAAUGCUGCUCUCCUCUCCCCUUACUCUUCUAUAGCUUCUGAAAUCCUCAGCACUUCAUUCAUUUUUCAGUCCACAAGUAUUUAUUGAGGUCCUCCAAGUAUUUCAUCACAGAACUAGGUGGUGGGAACUCAUAGAGCAGUAUAUGUAUAUGAAUAUAUAUGAGGCUGCAACGUACACAGAACUCACAGUGGGUCCAGAAGGGGGCCAGUUAAACAGUGAUCACAGUAAUUGGUGCUCAGUGCCGUGGCAGGAAAAGUACGCUUUGCUCAGGAGCCUUUCUAUAACAUUUUAACCUGUGGAGAUGGAGGGAGACAGGGGAUACUUCCUGGAGGAAGUUAAAUUUUAACAACCCUAUGAUGCCAGUCUUUUGAACUAAGGCAUUUGUUUUUACCUUUGUUAAAAUGCAAACUAUGUACUCGGAAGAAAACUACUUUGACAUCAUAAGAACUAUGGGUAUUAGUACCAAUUAAUGUUCACAAACUGAGGCCCUGAAGAAAUAAAUAUUUGAACUGUUAAAUUUUGGACGGUGGCGAAGAGAAAUUAAGCCCAGGGCACUGGUAAAAAGAGCAGGGAGCCGCUUCUGUGGUGGAUUUUGUGUCUGCAGGAAUUCGAGGUGCUUGGGAGGAGAUAGGGCUUGGGCUCAAGACACUGAAAUAGGUGCAGCUACAGCAAUAAUUUCCCCUGCAUUUAGCUUUGCCUAAAGCCCACUCCACUCUUGAGCUAGUCCUUACAAAUCCCCCUCAUCAAGGAAAAUGCCUCAGCUUGGCUUCUAGAUAGUGAAAGUGAAGUGUGAGAGGAAAAAUAUCUUUAUAAAAUCUAACAAUAUGUCUAAGGUAGUUGUGAUCCAAGACAAGUUUGGCUGGAAAAAUCCAUCUUGUUUUCCUAUAGGUUAUCUCUAUGACCCCUCCUUCUAUGUAAAUUGUUUAUAACUGUGUGAUUCUAUAACUUAACAUAAAAAUUGGUCGUUCAUUAUUUGAUUACAUUACAUGAACAUGAGCUGGCAUCUCCACUUCCUCAUUCCUAUAGCAUUUCAGAAAUGCCAGUGAGUCUCCUCUUUAUUAUUUAGAAAAACUUUCAGUUAAACAUAACUGCAACAUAAUUUAUAUUGGUGCUCUGGGAUGUAAUAAAAAUCCUUCACCCUAAUCUCAAUCUGUGUCCUUUUUUAGUCCAAUUCAAAACAUUUAUCAAAUGAUUUGCCUUCUUCCAUUAAGUAAAUAAUAGGAACUCUUUCCUUGUGAAAAUGAAGAGAGUUUGCAAGUUAUCUGCAAAUAGGAAUUUUGUCUCUAUUCCCCUUCCUGCUGUAGGGGAUGAAAACUCUGCAAACCCGGAACCUUACCUCUCCUGAUAGUGGGGUGUGUGUGUGUGUGUGU